ensembl:lncRNA novel transcript
AACCCUGACUCCCCGGGUCAGUCCACUUCUGCCAGGCAAACACAGACAGUUUCUAGUUGCAAGAUAUCCCCCAUGGCAGAGAAAAAAAAAAGUUUCUUCUGGGAUGCAGACAAUCCAGGAAUCAGUGAUAAUCCACUGACCUUUCUAGGAAGUAAGAGCAAAGAACAAACAGGUUAGAUUCUGAGAAGCUGUUUCUAAGUUUGAUGGUUUUUUUUUUCCUAAGCCUGAGGCACUGAGAAGGGUUCAAGCUUGUAUUCUCCAGAUGCAAGAUUUACUGUUACAGCACACUGAAGUCCUGAGCCCUCCGCCACCCGCAAGGCCUUCCUCGGAGACAGGGACCUAUCCAGAGAUGUCUCUGUCACUGUCAGGAUGCGCUGCAAGUGGACAAAGGGUUUCCUUCGUGUUGACCCUAAGAAGACCUCGACUUGAUCAAGGAAGAACUGAGCAUGGCUUGCAGUAGAGACAGUCACACACAGCUUCCCAUGAAUAGGUGUGGGCCUGAUCAUCUUAGCACCUUCUCUAGCCUUCAAGAAGCUCUCAAAAUCAGGGCCAUCUUGGUAUUUCACUAGCUGCUUCUUUCUUUUUUUGAUAUUUUAAGAGACAGGGACUUGCUAUGUUGCCCAGGUUGGACUUGUAUUCCUGGGCUCAAGCCAUUAUCCUGCCCCAGGGCUCCCAAGUAGCUGGGACUACAGGCCUGUGCCACCUCACCCACCCUCGCUGUUUAUUUCAAUGAACUGCAGGUUGAUGAUGAUCAAUCUUCUUUCCUAAUCUCCUGGUUGAAAUUAGGGAUAUUCAGAUUUUUUUGAAGUGGAGACUAUCAGGGUGUUAGAAGACCUAGUUCUGAACCUGCUCUCUGCUAACUUACCAUACGACUUUAGGCAAGUUGCUGCCCCACUAAGAACUUCAGUCUUAUCUGUGAAAUCAAGGGACUGGACUAAGUGGUCUCCGAGAUCCCCUCCAGCUGAAACCAUCUCCUGUACUGUCCACUAUUAUAGCAAAUAACCACACAUGGCUGAUUAAAUCUAAAUUAAUGAAAUAAAAGUCAGAAUGUAGUUCCUCAAUCUCACUAAUCAUAUGUCAAGGGCUUUAAUAGCCAUGUGUGGCCAGUGGCUGCCAGGUUGAACAGUGUAGUUCUCCUGCUCUCAUUUUAUUGAUGAUCAUGGUUUCAUAACAAAACCUGCCAGUUGAAGACCACUUUCACGUGUAUGGUGCAUUUUAAUACACGCUUACAUUUAACUACCCAAAAUAGGCAAGAGAGAUAUUCUAAUAUCUGCCUUAUCAGAUGAGGACACUAACUCAAAGAGUAAAUUACUUGCUAUAGGGUCAUACCACUAAUGACUAAAUGUAGUUUCCAAGCCCAGGACUCUCUAACACAUGGUACAAAGUCAUGACGAGAAGACAUGUGCCCCCUGGCCAAAACUAUUCAACCCAUGGUAGCACCAGAACUGAGAUCCAGGGAUUAAGGGCUGAUCUGGAGACCCUGUGCCUUGGUGUAGACCUUAGCUCAGCACAUCCUAGCUGUGUGACCAUGGGCAAGUUAUUUAAUAUCUCUGGGCUCCUUUCUAGUCCUCUGUUAAAUGGGAAUGACCACAGGAUCCACUGCUUAUGAGAACUGCACAAGUAGAUGCAAAUAAAAUGCUUUGCAUGGGA